rnacentral:lncRNA from 1 species
CCUCCAUAGUGACAGUCAUACGUCUCGUCAAUGACGCUGUUGAUAAUAUUGAGAGUGAAGGUAUGAAAGACUGUCUCCUGUUAACUCCCCUGACUCCCCUUCAUCUGCCAACGUGUUUAUUCAGUAGCUCCAACAUAUAAUGUGAAAAGCUUUUGCUGCUCAGUCCUUCUUCUUAUUCGGGAGUAAAAGAAAAUCCUUAGGUUUUCAAUACGUUGUCAGUUUCUGAAGCUGGAUCUCUGUGUUUUUUUUCCUCCCUCUUUUGGUCUCUGUGUUGUUUGUCUCAGUCUUUCUUUGACUUCGGCUUUCUCUCUCCCUUUGUAGUGUCAACCAUGGACAACGAACAGCGGCAGAACCGCUCUGCGUUCCGCUGGGAGUCUUCUUGUCAGACGUCGAGCUGGUUGUCACCAUCACAUCUACGUGCACCUGAGGCGGGCUCCCAUUAUGACCUCAGGGACACGGAGCAGAACAUCAGACGGGGCGGCAGCACGCGCUCCCUCCAGCUGGACUACAGAGUACUGGGCUCUAGCAGCGACAGGGCUCGAGAGCGGGCGCAGGAGACCACUGCAAAGAGGACUUUCCAGUGGGAGAGGAAUCAGUCAGGCGAGUGGGUGAGGAAGAGGAUCCUUGACAGGGAGGGAGCGAUCGGCGAGGAGAAGAACACAAGGAACAGGAGCAGGGAUGUGGGGGGGUGCCAGGACCGCCGAGGCCUUCAGGAGCUGCACAGCCAGGACAGCGACGAAGACAGCUCCUCGCCUGUUUACGAGGAAUACCGGGAGUGCAGCCAGAACCCAGAACAAGCUGAUGACGCAGAGGGCCUCUAUGACACUCUACCGCCCACCCGGCGGGCCUACGAAGGCUAUCCGUCCAGCCCCCCCGGCCUUAACCUUCACCCAGCCCAGCUCCUGCCCCCUCUCAGGGCGUGGGACCUGCAGCCAGGCGAGUGGAGGGGCUCGCAGGAGGACGGGGGAGGGCUCGGCUCCGGCACUCUGACAGGAUCUGGGGACGAACUGGAGAGACUGCUGAACCUGGUGUCUCUGAGAGCCAGGAGAGCUACGCGGAUAAACAGAGCCUCCACUGGGUCUGAACCCACAGCAGGCUGGGAUGGAUUUAAAUAGGCACUGUAGUAUGCUUAAAAUGAAGAACUUUAAUACUCUUUCUAUAUUAAAGAGAAGCAGUAACCCCCUCUGAUUAUUAUUGAGAUAUAUUAUACUAUGCGGUUGGUCCAACACCUAAAAUAAUUAAAUGAAUAUAUUACCAUGUAUAUUUUAAUUUCUCCACAUCAUUCUCCUGCUGUAGGCCAACACUGCUUCCCCACAUCAUUUAUAAGAUAGAGGAAUACGAGCAUCCUCUAGAUGCCAUCACAUGUACAUGAGAAUCUCUGCUCAUUUAUUUUUUAUAGAAUCACUGAAACAGUGUUUAUGACCAUCAAUAUGAAAGAGCCUGUCUGUCUCUGUCUUACUGUAGAUGAUAAUAUUUUGUAUGUGUGUUAGUAUAUUGUCGUUUGGGAACCCACACACACACACACACACACACACACACACACACACACACACACACACACACACACACACACACACACACACGCACACACAGCCCUCUUGGAAGCUCAGCUAUGUAACGCUUCUCUUAUUUUUACUGACACAUGCUGGGGGUUGUUGUUUUGGAGAGAACUGUUCGCCCACGUCCCUGACACAGCCUCAGAGAUGCUAUUAAGAUUGCCAGGCGUUAAUACCAGGGGAUCUUUAAUCACCUAAUUACUAUUUAUAUAUUUUUUUUACUUGCACCAUUCAUUUGUUUGUUUGCUCUUAUUAAACACAUGCACCAAGGGCACGAGGCUCAUGUAAGUAUGAGUAAAAACAGCACUUUAGGUAAUGUUACAUAUUUAUUAUCUGAGCUCAACACCAACUUUGACCUGUCAUUUCAACAAAGAAGGUUUGUAGCUGUAUGCAGAUUCAGCAACAAUACAAAUCCUAGUAUUCCAGUGUACAUUGUGUAUGUUUGUAUGUAUGUAUGUAUGUAUGUGUUAGCGGUUUAGCUGAGCUCCAGAUAAAAACCUAGCCAAUUUAAAUGUGAUAUAAAUAUGUAAUUUGCCUUCAGAGUUGAUGCAGCCACUCUGCAGAACCAACGUGUUUACACACUGUCGCUUCGCUGAUGACACAGCGUCAAUAGUGGGUCCGUGUUCCCAGCUUCCUCACAACAAAGGGAAUGUAAAUGGAUUUAAGCAGCGUGUUCGACAACCUCGAAACACCGGCAGAACAAACAGGUGGUGGUUAACUUGGGGUAUUAGCGAUUAACUUAUUCAUAAUGACAGUUCAGGACUGUGGAUUGGGAACGAGCCCGACCAGAUGUCUACCGUCGGAAUUUCACACUGUAAUGGAAACAGCUGUGCGAGUCUGCCUCUGUCUCACACCAAUCAUAAAUCCUCUGGUAAACAUGACUCCUGGUGUAUGGUUUGAAACGGUGUGGGGGGGGGUUCACGUGACAAAACACUCUCCUUGUGGCAAAGAGAAUGAACACCCAAACAAGUGCAUAGACUGAAGUUUGCUACGGACUUCUGAGAGUGAGUGUAGACACGACGAGGAGUAAAUACAAAUCAUCCACAUCACAGCCUGUGCUGUGCGUGCGUUUUAACGCAACUGCGCAAGGGCCUUUUAUGAAAGACAGCACUUAAGACAGAAAGUGGAAGGCGCGUGGUUAGUAGAUUUAAAUGGAGCCCUGUGAAUUCUAGCAAAAAUUCCAUUAAAGUUUUUUUUUUGUUUGAAAAGCCUUUUGUUAAGCGUCUGCAAACUCUUCUUGCUCCAACAAAAGUAAAUGGACUGAACUGUUUGCAAGACGUUUUUUCAACGGGGGAGUAUUAUACUGAUGGUACAUACAGUAUUGUACAGUAAAUGAACUUCUUCUGAAAGUACGACUAAAGGGUGAAAAACACAGAUACAUGCAUGUAUCACAAAUGUCUCAGAGGACGGUGUCCGUGUUUUUACCCCCAUUCAGCUUCAUUCAUUGCACCGCUGAAGCACAUUGCACCUCACACUCAUGCAGGUCAGGCUAACACAUGGACCAACAUUCACACCUUUGGCUACUUUACAGCUUCCAAGCGACUCAGUCUGUACAUCUGGGGACUGAGGCAGUUAAAGUCUGGCACCUGUGGGAAACUGGCACCAACGGAGAACACAAAUUAUCAGGGUGAAUUUUUAAAUUCCCAUUAUGUAGAAGCUCAACCCUAAAUCCUAAAUAAGAAUGCAAUUGAAGCAGCAGGUGAGACUUGAGCAUAUGUUGGACUGGGUGUGCGCUCGCAGGUGAGCUAUAUCUCAGCGUAGACUACAUGAAUACCCAUAAAUAUUUAAUCCUCUCACACCAGUCUUGUCACACCUCUUGUUUUGCCUGCCUUCCCAAAUAAAAUCUGGCAGAUUGAUUUAGUAGAGCUUAAA